UACGAAGGUCCCAAGCGUUAUCCGGAUUUAUUGGGUUUAAAGGGUGCGUAGGCGGCUUAUUAAGUCAGUGGUGAAAGCCCUAAGCUUAACUUGGGAACUGCCAUUGAUACUGAUGAGCUUGAGUAGAUUUGAGGCGGGCGGAAUGUGUCGUGUAGCGGUGAAAUGCUUAGAUAUGACACAGAACACCAAUUGCGAAGGCAGCUCGCUACACGAAUAUUGACUCUGAGGCACGAAAGCGUGGGGAUCAAACAGG
rnacentral:rRNA from 1 species